UGGCAGCCUAUGCGUUCCAGGGUGGAAUGGAGUUACGGGCGUGAGGCAGCUGGAGGGGGCGGCCCGGGAGCUGCUGAUGCCAGUGGGGGCCAAGCAGAACCGAAUCUGGGGUGGAGGGGGCCAGUAUGUGUGCCUCGGUCAAGUACAGCACAAGGGGUCCAGUCCUCAUCCCCAGGAUGAAGUCCAAGCACCGUGUCUACUACAUUGCUCUCUUCUCUGUGGUCCUGCUGGGCCUUAUUGCCACUGGGAUGUUUCAGUUCUGGCCGCACACUAUCGAGCCUUCCAGCGACUGGACCGCAGACAAGCGAAGUGUCCAUGGUGUGCCAUCGGUCAAGCUCUCACUGGACAGCCCUCUCCCAGAGAGGGGAGACUUAAGAUGCAGGAUGCACACAUGCUUUGAUGUAUACCGCUGCGGAUACAAUCCUAAGAACAAGGUGAAGGUGUACAUCUACCCGCUGAAGAAAUACACAGAUGAGUACAGCGUUUCGGUGGGGGGCACCAUCUCCCGUGAGUACAACCAGCUUCUGAGUGCCGUGUCCCAGAGCGACUUCUACACAGAAGAUGUGAGCAAGGCCUGUCUCUUUCUGCCCUCCAUCAAUGUUCUCAACCAAGAUAGUCUGCGCAUUAAAGAGACUGCACAAGCGCUGGCACAGCUACCCAGGUGGGACAGAGGGACCAACCACUUACUAUUUAACAUGCUUCCUGGUGGACCCCCGGAUUAUAACACUGCUCUUGAUGUCCCCCGAGACAGAGCCUUGUUAGCUGGAGGAGGAUUUUCCACGUGGACCUACCGGCAGGGUUAUGACGUCAGUAUUCCAGUGUACAGCACUCUGUCUGCAGAGGUGAAACUGGCAGAGAAAGCAACCGGCCCCCGCACCCACUUCCUCCUGUCCUCCCAGACUUCUUUGCACCCAGAGUUCCGCUCAGAACUAGAAGCCAUCCGGGCAGAAAAUGGAGAGUCGGUGCUGAUCUUGGAAAAGUGCAGCAAUUAUUCUGAUGGUGCCAUGUUGCUCCGCAAGCGCUGCUAUAAGAACAUGAUGUAUGACUACCCGCAGAUCCUUCAGGAAUCCACGUUCUGUAUAGUGCUGCGAGGGGCUCGGCUAGGGCAAGGGGUUCUCAGUGACGUCUUGCAGGCUGGUUGUGUGCCAGUUAUUAUCGCAGAUUCCUAUGUGCUUCCCUUCUCUGAGGUCCUGGAUUGGAAAAGAGCAUCGGUGGUGAUACCCGAAGAGAAGAUGUUUGAGAUGUACAGCAUUCUACAGGGCAUUUCUCAGCGGCAAGUGGAAGAGAUGCAGCGUCAGGCUCGCUGGUUCUGGGAAGGCUAUUUCAGUUCAAUGAAAUCCAUCGCUUUGACCACCCUUCAGAUUAUUAAUGACCGCAUCUACCCUUACGCCGCUCGCUCCUAUGAAGAGUGGAAUGACCCACCUGCUGUGCAAUGGAGCAGCGUAAACAACCCCCUCUUCCUGCCGCUCAUCCCCCCUCAGUCCCAGGGGUUCACCGCCGUGGUGCUGACAUACGACCGGGUCGAAAGCUUGUUCCGUGUUAUCACAGAAGUCUCCAAGGUCCCGAGUCUGUCCAAGCUGCUGGUGGUGUGGAAUAAUCAGAAUAAGAACCCACCUGAAGCUUCUGUUUGGCCAAAGAUCCGGGUUCCAUUGAAAGUCGUGAGAACCACUGAGAACAAGCUGAGCAACCGCUUCUUCCCCUACAAUGAAAUUGAAACCGAAGCCGUUUUGGCGAUUGACGAUGACAUCAUCAUGCUGACAUCAGAUGAGCUUCAGUUUGGUUACGAGGUAUGGCGGGAGUUUCCAGACAGGUUGGUGGGAUACCCAGGCCGACUGCACCUGUGGGAUCAUGAAAUGAGCAAAUGGAAAUACGAAUCCGAGUGGACAAAUGAGGUGUCGAUGGUUCUGACUGGUGCUGCUUUUUACCACAAGUACUUUAACUACCUGUACAGCUACAAGAUGCCCGGGGACAUCAAGAACUGGGUAGACGCCCACAUGAACUGCGAAGAUAUCGCCAUGAACUUUUUAGUGGCCAACGUGACCGGGAAGGCACCUAUUAAGGUGACUCCGAGAAAGAAAUUUAAGUGCCCAGAAUGCACGGCCAUCGACGGGCUAUCACUGGAUCAGACCCACAUGGUGGAGAGAUCUGAAUGCAUCAACAAGUUUGCAUCGGUUUUCGGCACCAUGCCCCUGAAGGUGGUGGAGCACCGCGCCGACCCCGUGCUGUACAAGGACGACUUCCCUGAGAAGCUAAAAAGUUUCCCCAACAUAGGCAGCCUGUGACCCCCCUCAGUCUGGCUGUUUCUGAGUGAUCGCGUCUCCACCGCGCAGCACUACCAAUCGUUACCUCUGCUCCACUUUUAGUCUUUCCAUUUCACACGUUUUAUUUCUGAUUUUUAACACAUCUCCCAUAGCUGCUCUCUCCGGUUAUUAUUGUCGGACCUGUUACAGGGAUCUGCGUACAAUGGGUUUAAUAUUAAAUACCUGCCGGCAACCAAUCCGAAUCCACUGACAAUUCUGCUGGGCCUUUCUUAGACAUGAUGGCUGUGUGGCACACGUACCUGUAAAUGUGCAAUCGGCCAAUCAAAUGGUUGCCUUCACUAUUAAAGUAUAAGUAAACCUUUAAAAUAAAUGAAAAAAAUAAAUAAAAACCUUUCUCAAAUUUUUCCUAAGCAGAAGAACAUCAGAGCGGCCUCUUUCUUUCUCCUGACAACUUCCUUGACUACUUGGUGGUCAGACUGGUCGGAAACUGACCAGCAGGUGGCACUGUUGUAACAGAAUUAAUUAAUGUUAACAGAACAUAUAUCCCUUAAUAUCUUGGAAUAAAAACAAAAUAAAUAAUGAAUGUACAUUUACAAAAUUUCAUAGCGCCCUCAUCAAUUUUACAUUCACUUAUUUGAAAGGUUUACUUAUCCUUUAAGACUAUACUAGAAUAGCAGCAACUGAUUGGUUGGUAAGGGUUAGUGCACUGGGGCAACUAGGCCUCGUGUUUCCGUAAAAUCGCAUACCUCUACUAUACAGUGACCCUUUCUGCAUAUUUCAGGGUCUCUCUCAUACUCGUGCAUUUCAUUCUCUUGUAUGUUGGUCAUGUUUUUAUUAGGGAUGCACCGAAUCCAGAAUUCGGUUCAGGAUUCAGCCAAGAUUCGGCCUUUUUCAGCAGGAUUCGGCCGAAUUCUUCUGCCCGACCAAACCAAAUCCAAAUCCUAAUUUGCAUAUGCAAAUUAGGGACGGAAAUCACAUGACUUUUUGUCAGAAAACAAAGAACUAAAAAUGAUUUCACCUUCCCACCCCUAAUUUGCAUAUGUAAAUUAGGAUUCAGUUUGCUAUUCGGCCAAAUCUUUUGAGAAGGAUUCGGGGGUUCGGCCGAAUCGAAAAUAGUGGAUUAGGUGCAUCCCUAGUUUUUAUGUUAUGUUUUUACAUUUUUUUUUUUUUAAAUGUCCCUUUUACCCCUGGAGCUUUAAACUAUUUAAAUAUUUGUUUUUUAAAUUACUAGGAACCCGCCGUGGUACUAGGGUGUUACACUUCUCCUGUAUACUGUACAGUGCAGCCCAUUGCCUUGAUAGAUCCUGAAAAAAAAAAGCAUUUUAUCUAAAGGCAGCCAGUGUGCAAAUUUCCCACAAUCCUCAGUAAAGACACUACUUGGCAAUGACUGUACGGAGGUUUUCAAGGGUUGGUUUGCUGACCCCUCACCGUGAAGCAACGGAGACCUUGUAGAUUACAAUUUGGGAAUGAAUAAAGACUUUGUCCCUUGUCUGUA